GCCCUGGAUUUCUUGGUUGGGCCUCUGAGAACCUCCUAGAAGAGCAGAGCUCCCCAACUAGCAUAUUAGGUACUCAGCACCAUUGGAAGGCGAUUCAUUUCCACCAGCUCACGUUCCAUCACCGCCUUCCUAAGAUAUUUCUGCCUACAGUCAAGGCCUCUGCCAGUUCUCUUCUCCCACAUGCCCAUUGGCAUGUGUUUUGCUACUUUAUGAAAGAAGAGAAUUUCAUCCUGGAAACUCCAGGCACACGGUGGCCCCUCGACUUCUGAUUCAGCCAUGCAUGUCCCUCUCCAGGGGGGUGGCCCUUCAUGGAGGUCACCCAUCCAUCUGGGCAAACUACUCAUCUCUGGUUUAAACAGGAGGUUCAAAGGAAACAACAAGAUGGCUAAGGAUGUAAAGACAAAAGAAAUAAAUGAGUUAUUUUA